AAUGUGGACCUUAAAGUAAGUGCUUGCCGAUCGGAUUCAUUAGCAAUGAAGCUGUCGUGGUCAGUGAGAUCAGGCGUCGACUGAUAUUGGUCAUCCAGUCUCAUCAACUCGACGACCAGUUGGACCAGCACCAAGUUCGAUGUUCCUUACAGGUAUUGCACUUUGCAGUUUCCCAGCAACAGAAUGGACCUGCAAUAUUCAAGAGGUGAAAAUGGUUGGUGACCACAAAAUCAUGACUUACAGUCCUUGGAAUGUAACCAAACUUAAAAAAUAGGACAUUAAAGGGCUGAUAGUGAGCACUGUUAAAAGCCCUUUAAUGCGACAUUACAGUACUAGAAUAACAGUUGUAAACCUAGUCACCCCUCAGUCCAUUCUGUUGAAAAUGAGGUUCAACGCUUCGUGAUAGAUCAAACGAGAGAAUAAAAUUAGUCACAAACCUGGUUUCGUGUUUAAGAAGACCAUUUUCUCCACCGCUCAAUCUCAGCUGCAUCUACACUAAAGCGAGCUGGGUCAUUCUCUACAACUCCAGUUACCUUAUCCAAUUCAUCAACCUGGAAGAAGAACGGUGUCAUUCAAGAAUGCCAUGUGUUGAAGAAAAUCAGUUCACCAAAAAGGACAAACAUGAAGACAUCAAACAUCUGAUCCAUACAGUUGGUCUUUUCUUCUCCGUUAUCAGUUACAUGCUUCUGGCGUGAAAGGACUAUCUUAGAGAUCCCCAAUGGAACAUGACAAUCGUAACCCCAAUAAUCACGAUACGGUGGCAGUGAAUUGGAAACAUACAUGAAAAACAUCAAAAUGAACCACAGAAAGAAUAAAAAUGGCACUGCAUUACUAUAAAACAAACUAGAGCAAUCCAUGUUUCUAUCCCUCACCAAACCAUCACACAAAGAGUUGCCUAAAAUAAUAAGAACCAAACUCAAAAUGCAAGAUUGUUCUGCACAGCCACUUUCCACACUCAGAAAAGCCCGAAUCUCUCUAAAAACUGAAUGUCAAAGAGUGACGCAGAUAGGCUUAAGAAACGAAAUAUUUCUAAUCGUUCAAAAGCCUGCCCAAAAAUGGAAAUCAGAAAAACAGAUAAAUGACGUAGCAUUCAAGAACAAGUAAAUAACUCACAAUCUAGGUUCAAUUUCACCAACGAGAACAAAACUUGCAGUGUCAAUUUUAGGUCUACUACAUAGGAUUCAUACAGUGUGGGACAUUUAACACUCUCACCAUACCUGCCAUUCGAUAUUCUCACAAGAGGAUAGAAGCUCCUUACUAAGCACGCUCCGCUCUGUGGAAGAAAAUGGCAACUGCUCCCAUCGAGCAAAUGUAGAUUGUAGCUUGGUGACCUACAUUCCAAUAAUGUCACAUUACAACCAUCCCCGCAUAUUUGUGCGGAGACAGUGUAUGCCCGGCCACAGGCUGCACGCGAUCCGAAACAAUCAUGACUGAAAUUAUCAAGGCCACAAGCAAAAUCGAAGUAGACACAACCAAAUCGACCUUACUGCAAUAUUUAGUUACCCAUCACAAAGCUUCGAAACCCUCGAACAAUGAUCCUUUGCAAUUAGAGCAUUUCCUGCAGCAGAGAGUCCUUUCUGUCAAUAACAAAAAGCUGAAGAAAAACGAGAAGAAUAGAUUGGGCACUCAC
rnacentral:lncRNA from 1 species